rnacentral:rRNA from 1 species
CAAUAGCGUAUAUUAAAGUUGUUGCGGUUAAAAAGCUCGUAGUUGGAUUUCUGCUGAGAACGACCGGUCCGCCCUUUGGGUGUGUAUCUGGCUCUUUCUUGGCAUCUUCUUGGUGAACGUUGCUGCACUUGACUGUGUGGAGCGCUACCCAGGACUUUUACUUUGAGGAAAUUAGAGUGUUUCAAGCAGGCAUACGCCUUGAAUACAUUAGCAUGGAAUAAUAAGAUAGGACCUCGGUUCUAUUUUGUUGGUUUCUAGAGCUGAGGUAAUGAUUAAUAGGGAUAGUUGGGGGCAUUCGUAUUUAACUGUCAGAGGUGAAAUUCUUGGAUUUAUGAAAGACGAACUUCUGCGAAAGCAUUUGCCAAGGAUGUUUUCAUUGA